rnacentral:rRNA from 1 species
GACAGAGGAUGCAAGCGUUAUCCGGAAUGAUUGGGCGUAAAGCGUCUGUAGGUGGCUUUUUAAGUCCGCCGUCAAAUCCCAGGGCUCAACCCUGGACAGGCGGUGGAAACUACCAAGCUGGAGUACGGUAGGGGCAGAGGGAAUUUCCGGUGGAGCGGUGAAAUGCGUAGAGAUCGGAAAGACCACCAAUGGCGAAGGCACUCUACUGGGCCACUACUGACGCUGAGGAGCGAAAGCCAGGGGAGCAAACGGG